rnacentral:SRP_RNA from 1 species
CGACAGGUCUUAGGCGGGGGGCUAGGGGUCCUCUGAUAGGCUUUGCCUUGACCGUAAAUCCCCUAUACGACGGGCUGACAGCUGUGUCUGAGGCGUCAAGGAGCGUCAGGCUUCGCCUGUCCUUGCAGUGAGUAUCCGUCCUUUGGGGCUGGCGGUCAUGGAGCUGUCUCUGUAGGGAGGCAGUUUCCAUGUUUGUUAGGUGAAUCUGGCCAGGCCCGGGAGGGAGCAACCUAAGUCUAGACGUUUGGCGCUCAAAGGGGUGCGGAUAUGAGACAGGGAUGAGCUGUAGGCUUGGCGAAAACUAGGCGCUGAAUCUCAGUGACCUGUCG